rnacentral:misc_RNA from 1 species
GGCGAGCUAAUACAGUGCAUUCGUCGCCGGAGAAUGAUGUUGCAUUUCACCCAAGUGGAAAUUUCUUGGUGACUGGCGGCGAUCACGAUACAAUAAGAUUGCUUAAUUUAUUAGAAGGUCGACCAAUUUAUACACGUUGCUCGUUUGGAAAUCUAAUUUGCAUAUAUUUGAUGCCAAUAGCUCUCGAAACAAACAAGCCAGAGUCCAAAUUGAUUUUAGUGAUGCAACAGGUCCACAUAACUAAGCCAUAGACACACCAGUUGUUGGAGUACCAAAAAGCUGUGAUGACAGUAUUUUAAUUGAUCCAUGACAAUCGGUGGCAAAUGGAAUGCGUGAUGAAAUUUUCUGGUGCUUGAUAGCCAAUAUACUAUAAGAUUACAUUAAGAAGCUCAUAGAGGACAGAGCUGUUGGUGAGGAAGAUGUCGAGUUACUGCAGUACUGCAACUUGGAAAAUCCGCAUUUCGCACGUGCCCCACUCGUAUGGAAUAGUAGCUUAUGUCAAAAGGCUGGUUUUAGUAUAAUGCGGCAUUCGCAGCAUACCCUCACUGGCGCCGAGCCGUUGAAGAAAUUUUGGCAAAUAAACGUGCAAGAAAUAGUUCCGAUAAUAGCACGUCCAUAUUCUUGUUAAGGGUCAUCAAAAAAAU